GAGGUGAUCUAGAAGAUACAACCACCUUCAGUCAAAGUGCCUGAGGGAAUGAUAGGAGAAGCUGGGCUCUCUGAUAAGAUCACAGAUCCAGUGAACAGGGGAGGAUUGAAAGCCUUCAGAUUCCUUUCAUGUGAAAAGACAGACUUUUAUAUGUGUGAGCCUCUGUUAGCUUGAGUCUUCUGUUUUAUGCAGCCAAACUUAACCCUAACUGCCACACACCGUCUACUUACAUUUUAUGAUGCUCUCUCUAAUCUCUUAGGUAAUUGUAUCCUCCCAGAAACCUAUGGAGAGCUGAAGGGAUUUUAGGAACAUGGAAUCCACUCUCCUCCUUUGAUAAAAGAGGACAAAGGCCAGAGAGCUGUGCGAUGGCUGAGGCAGGCGAUUGUAAACCAAAAGGUGCCUGAGACUGAUAUCAAUCCAUUUAAAAGCUCAAUUUCCAUUUGGAGUGGCUUCUGGAAGGCUGGAAUUGAAAUCCACCAGUGCCCAUUUCAAGGUGUUCCCAACUUUGCCUGGAAAAAAAGGAGCCCGGAUACGCUUCCCUGUGGAUGCAGACAGAGUGUGGCUCUGUAGCCCAGGCUGGGGUACAGUGACGGGAUCUCAGCUCACUGCAAGCUCUGCCUCCCGGGUUCACGCCAUUCUCCUGCCUGAGCCUCCCGAGUAGCUGGGACUACAGGCUCCCGCCACCACGUAAGACUAAUUUUUUGUAUUUUUAGCAGAGAUGGGGUUUCACCGUGUUAGCCAGGAUGGUCUCGAUGUCCUGGCCUCAUGAUCCACCCUCUUCGGUCUCCCAAAGUGCUGAGAUUACAGGU
rnacentral:lncRNA from 1 species